ACAAGCGGUGGAUCAUGUUGUUUAAUUCGAUGAUACGCGAAGAACCUUUACCAGGUCUUGACAUCCCCUGCAAAGCUAUGGAGACAUAGUGGAGGUUAUCAGGGAGACAGGUGGUGCAUGGUUGUCGUCAGCUCGUGUCGUGAGAUGUUGGGUUAAGUCCCGCAACGAGCGCAACCCCUAUUGUUAGUUGCCAUCAUUCAGUUGGGCACUCUAGCGAGACUGCCGGUAAUAAACCGGAGGAAGGUGGGGAUGACGUCAAAUCAUCAUGCCCCUUAUGACCUGGGCUACACACGUGCUACAAUGGUUGGUACAACGAGUUGCGAGUCGGUGACGGCGAGCUAAUCUCUUAAAGCCAAUCUCAGUUCGGAUUGUAGGCUGCAACUCGCCUACAUGAAGUCGGAAUCGCUAGUAAUCGCGGAUCAGCACGCCGCGGUGAAUACGUUCCCGGGCCUU
rnacentral:rRNA from 1 species